rfam:Weissella ceti strain WS74, complete genome.
AUACCUUUUAAGAUUGAAUCCAGAGAGAUUCGCAAGGGUAGCAUGACUAGUUAGAUAAAGGGGGAGACUGGAGUCUCUCUGUUUUCUUGAAGAAAUUUAGUCAAAGCCCUGCGAAUCAAUCGAUUCGCAGGGCUUUUUCUAU